AGAGUUUGAUCAUGGCUCAGAAUCAACGCUGGCGGCGUGCCUAACACAUGCAAGUCGAACGAGAAAGUCCCGCAAGGGAUGAGUAAAGUGGCGCACGGGUGAGUAACACGUAGCUAACCUGCCCUCGAGUGGGGGAUAGCCUGGGGAAACUCGGGCUAAUACCGCAUAACGUCCUGGCUGCGCGAGCAGCCGGGAUCAAAGGCCCGCAAGGGUCGCUUGGGGAGGGGGCUGCGGCCGAUUAGCUAGUUGGUGAGGUAACGGCCCACCAAGGCUAUGAUCGGUAGCCGGCCUGAGAGGGCGCACGGCCACACUGGCACUGAAACACGGGCCAGACUCCUACGGGAGGCAGCAGUGGGGAAUUUUGCACAAUGCCCGAAAGGGUGAUGCAGCAACGCCGCGUGAGGGAUGAAGGCCUUCGGGUCGUAAACCUCUUUCGAUCGGGAAAAACGGGCUGGUGAAGAGCCAGUUCUGAUGGUACCGGAUGAAGAAGCCCCGGCUAACUACGUGCCAGCAGCCGCGGUAAUACGUAGGGGGCGAGCGUUGUUCGGAAUUACUGGGCGUAAAGGGCGUGUAGGCGGUGCGGUAAGUCGGGCGUGAAAUCCCCGGGCCUAACCCGGGGCGGUCGUUCGAAACUGCCGUGCUAGAGUGCAGGAGAGGGAAGUGGAAUUCCCGGUGUAGCGGUGAAAUGCGUAGAUAUCGGGAGGAACACCUGCGGCGAAGGCGGCUUCCUGGACUGCAACUGACGCUGAGGCGCGAAAGCUAGGGGAGCAAACAGGAUUAGAUACCCUAGUAGUCC
rnacentral:rRNA from 1 species